rnacentral:rRNA from 1 species
CGAAGGGGGCUAGCGUUGUUCGGAAUCACUGGGCGUACAGGGCGCGUAGGCGGCCGAUCAAGUCGGGGGUGAAAGCCUGUGGCUCAACCACAGAAUGGCCUUCGAUACUGGUUGGCUCGAGACCGGAAGAGGUGAGUGGAACUGCGAGUGUAGAGGUGAAAUUCGUAGAUAUUCGCAAGAACACCAGUGGCGAAGGCGGCUCACUGGUCCGGUUCUGACGCUGAGGCGCGAAAGCGUGGGGAGCAAACAGGAUUAGAUACCCUGGUAGUCCACGCCGUAAACGAUGGAUGCUAGCCGUUGGCGAGCUUGCUCGUCAGUGGCGCAGCUAACGCUUUAAGCAUCCCGCCUGGGGAGUACGGUCGCAAGAUUA